rnacentral:tRNA from 2 species
GGCCGGUUGGCCCAAUGGCAAGGCGUCUGACUACGAUUGAGUAGAGCAUCAGGAGAUUCUGGGUUCGACCCCCAGGCUGGUCA